rnacentral:rRNA from 1 species
CCUACGGGAGGCAGCAGUGGGGAAUAUUGCACAAUGGGGGAAACCCUGAUGCAGCGACGCCGCGUGAGUGAAGAAGUAUUUCGGUACGUAAAGCUCUAUCAGCAGGGAAGAAAAUGACGGUACCUGACUAAGAAGCCCCGGCUAACUACGUGCCAGCAGCCGCGGUAAUACGUAGGGGGCAAGCGUUAUCCGGAUUUACUGGGUGUAAAGGGAGCGUAGACGGCAGCGCAAGUCUGGAGUGAAAUCCCAUGGCUUAACCAUGGAACUGCUUUGGAAACUGUGCAGCUAGAGUGCAGGAGAGGUAAGCGGAAUUCCUAGUGUAGCGGUGAAAUGCGUAGAUAUUAGGAGGAACACCAGUGGCGAAGGCGGCUUACUGGACCGUAACUGACGUUGAGGCUCGAAAGCGUGGGGAGCAAACAGGAUUAGAUACCCCUGUAGUC